rnacentral:rRNA from 1 species
GACGAACGCUGGCGGCGUGCUUAACACAUGCAAGUCGUACGGUAAGGCCCUUUCGGGGGUACACGAGUGGCGAACGGGUGAGUAACACGUGAGUAACCUGCCCACCACUUUGGGAUAACGCUAGGAAACUGGUGCUAAUACUGGAUAUGUGCUACUGCUGCAUGGUGGGGGUUGGAAAGCUCCGGGGGUUGUGGAUGGACUCGCGGGCUAUCAGCUUGUUGGUGGGGUAGUGGUCUACCAAGGCGGCGACGGGUAGCCGGCCUGAGAGGGUGACCGGCCACAUUGGGGCUGAGAUACGGCCCAGACUCCCACGGGAGGCAGCAGGGGGGAAUAUUGCACAAUGGGCGCAAGCCUGAUGCAGCAACGCCGCGUGCGGGAUGAAGGCCUUCGGGUUGGAAACCGCUUUCAGCAGGGACGAAGCUUUUUGUGACGGUACCUGCAGAAGAAGCACCGGCUAACUACGUG